AAACGAAGCCGGAACAGAUUUAAACCAACGUCCGAGCCGCUGCCUCUGUUUGUCAGUGCUGUGAGGAAACGUCGUUACCGGAGAGUCUGGAUGCUACAACAAACACGAACACCAGUGAGACUGGACGCUGAAUACACUUGCAGCGCGAAGGUGUCACCACUUCAUCCACGACAUGGUCCACGAUCACAGAGACAUGGUCCACGAUCGCAGAGACAUGGUCCAUGAUCAGAGUCUUCGUACAAUGAAGAAGUUCUUUGAGACCAGGACUGAGGCCUCCAGGAUUCAGACUUUAACCAUUAAAUCACAGCGAGAAGAGAGAGACGUGAAGACGUCAGAAGGUCUUCAGCUGCUGUCGUCGUCUUCGCCUGCAGAGACGAGAACACGUUCAUCACACACACUGAGCAGUAAAUCUAUUUUUCCUUUUCUAAACUAGCUUUAUUUGUUUUUGAUAACUAAUUACAAUAUCACUUAUUUUAUUGUGUUUGUUUUUUUUAUUAUUAUUACAGUCAUAGUAAUGACUAGAAAUACUCAUGAAACUAUAUAAAAUGAGAAUGACAUGAAGAUGACAUAAGUAAUUAUUACUGAGGUCAUUUCAGAAAUGAUAUUACUGAAAUUACUAAGGCAAAGGUAAUACAAAAUAUACUUUUACUUGCUAAUUAACUAAAAUUAUUUUUACAUAUUAAAUAUUGUUUUUUUUUCACAACAUUCUAAGCUAUGGCAUUUUUUGACCUUUUUUUUUUUAUAGUUUUAUAUUGUUCAUGUAUUUCAUCAUUUUUAUAGAUUAUUUUGUUGUAUAUCUUGUCAUGUUUAUAUCAUGCCUUUUUCUAUUUUUGCUGCUGCAACACUGAAGUUCCCUGCUGUGGGAGUAAUAAAGUAUUAUCUUUCUCUUACUCAAA